UGGCGUGGUUUGCUGAUGUCAACGUAGUGAACAGUGUCCCAUGGUCGCGGUGGGAUUAUGGUAUGGGCAGGCAUAAACUACGGACAACAAACACAAUUGCAAUUAAUCGUUGACAGUGUUAAUGCACAGACAUACCGUGACGAAAUCCUGAGGCCCAUUGUCGUGCCAUUCUUCCGCUGUAAUCCCCUCACGUUUCAGCAUGCUAAUGCACUGCUCCAUGUCGCAAGGAUCUGUACACAAUUCCUGGAGGGUGACAAUGUCGCAGUUCUUCCAUGGCCUGCAUACUCCCCAGGCAGGUCACCCGUGGAGUAUGGCAUGUAAAUAUCGGUUCCCUAAGGACCACGCUGUCAUCAACUGUUUUAUUGUUUUUAAUGUGUUUUAUGGACUCUUGAAAGAUGAGUCCCAAUGAGGACUAAAAUAUCCUAAUAAAAUGUUUUGUGAAGGCUA